rnacentral:rRNA from 1 species
GACGAACGCUGGCGGCGUGCCUAACACAUGCAAGUCGAGCGGGGUGGUUCUGAAGGGCAACCGGAGGGAUCACCUAGCGGCGAACGGGUGAGUAACGCGUGGAUAACCUACCUCAAGGUCUGGGAUAACAGCUCGAAAGGGCUGCUAAUACCGGAUGUGGUGCAUAUGCUGCAUGGUAGAUGCACUAAAGGGGAAACCCGCCAUGAGAUGGGUCCGCGUCCCAUCAGCUAGUUGGUGGGGUAAAGGCCUACCAAGGCGACGACGGGUAGCCGGCCUGAGAGGGUGACCGGCCACACUGGGACUGAGACACGGCCCAGACUCCUACGGGGGGCAGCAGUGGGGAAUAUUGCACAAUGGGCGAAAGCCUGAUGCAGCGACGCCGCGUGGGCGAAGAAGGCCUGGUUGUAAGACCUCGUCUGAGGGACGAAGGUAAGUAGACGGUAACCGUCCGGACGGAAGGACCACCGGCUAACCUAACGUCGCCACGCAGCCGCCGGUAAGUCUCGUCUCUA